rnacentral:rRNA from 1 species
AUUGAACGCUGGCGGCAUGCCUUACACAUGCAAGUCGAACGGCAGCAUGAUCUAGCUUGCUAGAUUGAUGGCGAGUGGCGAACGGGUGAGUAAUACAUCGGAACGUGCCCUGUAGUGGGGGAUAACUAGUCGAAAGAUUAGCUAAUACCGCAUACGACCUGAGGGUGAAAGGGGGGGACCGCAAGGCCUCAUGCUAUAGGAGCGGCCGAUGUCUGAUUAGCUAGUUGGUGAGGUAAAGGCUCACCAAGGCGACGAUCAGUAGCUGGUCUGAGAGGACGAUCAGCCACACUGGGACUGAGACACGGCCCAGACUCCUACGGGAGGCAGCAGUGGGGAAUUUUGGACAAUGGGCGAAAGCCUGAUCCAGCGAUGCCGCGUGUGUGAAGAAGGCCUUCGGGUUGUAAAGCACUUUUGUCCGGAAAGAAAUGGCUCUGGUUAAUACCUGGGGUCGAUGACGGUACCGGAAGAAUAAGGACCGGCUAACUACGUG